rnacentral:rRNA from 1 species
CGCGUAGGCGGUUUUGUAAGUCGAAUGUGAAAGCCCCGGGCUUGACCUGGGAAUUGCGUUCGAUACUGCGAAACUAGAGUACGGUAGAGGGAAGUGGAAUUCCGGGUGUAGCGGUGAAAUGCGUAGAUAUCCGGAGGAACACCAGUGGCGAAGGCGACUUCCUGGGCCAGUACUGACGCUGAGGUGCGAAAGCGUGGGGAGCAAACA